GACGUAGGGCGCGAGGCGUUGUCCGGAUUUAUUGGGCGUAAAGGAGCUCGUAGGCGGCUUGUUGCGUCGGCUGUGAAAACCCAUGGACUCAACCGUGGGCUUGCCAGCCGAUACGGGCAGGCUGGAGUUCGGUAGGGGAGACUGGAAUUCCUGGUGUAGCGGUGAAAUGCGCAGAUAUCGGGAGGAACACCGGUGGCGAAGGCGGGUUCUCUGGGCCUUACCUGACGCUGAGGAGCGAAAGCGUGGGGAGCGAACAGG
rnacentral:rRNA from 1 species